CUGCAACAGUAGGAACUCAGCGCUACGACCUCGAUGAAUGAGAUAAGUGAGAGGAAUGCUGAGCAAAGUCCACCGUCAGUCCUCCGACCAGUGAAACAAUAAACAGAGAGAAAUUUGCAGAUAACAUGGGCCAACAUAGAUGCGAGAAGGGAUCACCAGUGCCAUUGGUAGACAUUGCAGUAUUUCAUUAAACUGCAGCCUGCCUCUGACCUCCGUCUCUCUCAAAGCCUGGUCUCCAGAAAGAAUCCUGAAUUUUGCCUACAAAGUAAACUAAUUCCCAGAAUACAAGAAUACUUUGCUGCAUCUUCACUUGCCUCAGCCUUCAACCAAGCUCCUAGGAAAGAGACCAGCGGCAGAAUAUUGCGCUCGUUGGGCAGGCACGUGCCCGACCUGAACGAGUGUAAAGUGACGCAUGACCACCGUUGGACAAGCAUCUCGACAUCAUCACACACUCGUGCGAUAUUUUGGUCGGUGGGUGCACGAGGGAGCUUGCAGCAUGCAUGCUGACAAUUAACAGACCUAUUAAGACCAUUAUAGUUCUAAUUAAAUAAAAUUUUUCACUGCCUGUCCAACCUUACGGCUGGUGGGUGGGCGAAAAUGCCAAGCGGCCUUUGGAUUUUUUACA